rnacentral:tRNA from 1 species
CGGGGCGUAGCGCAGCCUGGUAGCGCACACGCUUGGGGUGCGUGGGGUCGUGGGUUCGAAUCCCGCCGCCCCGACCA